rnacentral:rRNA from 1 species
CCUGCAAGUGGGGAUAACCUGUCGAAAGGCAGGCUAAUACCGCAUAUGAUAAUCAAGCGUUGCUUGAUUAUUAAAGCCUUAGGGUGCUGGGAGAUGGGCUUGCGUCUGAUUAGCUAGUUGGUGAGGUAAUGGCUUACCAAGGCGAUAAUCAGUAGCUGGUCUGAGAGGAUGGUCAGCCAGAUGGGGACUGAGAUACGGCCCCAACUCCUACGGGAGGCAGCAGCAAGGGAUAUUGGGCAAUGGGCGAAAGCCUGACCCAGCGACACCGCGUGAGGGAGGAAGGCCUUCGGGUUGUAAACCUCUUUUCUCAAGGAAGAAUUUUGACGGUACUUGAGGAAUAAGCCUCGGCUAACUACGUGCCAGCAGCCGCGGUAAGACGUAGGAGGCGAACGUUAUCCGGAUUUAUUGGGCGUAAAGAGAGCGUAGGCGGCUUUUUAAGUCAAGUGUGAAAUCUUCUGACUCAAUCAGAAGAAGCCGCUUGAUACUGGAGGGCUUGAGGGAAGCAGAAGGAAAUGGAAUUCCCAGUGUAGCGGUGAAAUGCGUUGAUAUUGGGAAGAACACCAGUGGCGAAGGCGAUUUCCUAGGCUUUUCCUGACGCUGAGGCCCGAAAGCGUGGGGAGCGAAGCGGAUUAGAUACCCGCGUAGUCCACGCCUUAAACGGUGGACAUUAGGUAUGGGGAGUAUCGACCCUCUCCGUGUCGAAGCUAACGCUUUAAAU